rnacentral:rRNA from 1 species
ACAGCAGCAGCCGCGGUAAUACAGAGGGUGCGAGCGUUAAUCGGAUUUACUGGGCGUAAAGCGUGCGUAGGCGGCUAAUUGAGUCGGAUGUGAAAUCCCCGAGCUUAACUUGGGAAUUGCAUUCGAUACUGGUUAGCUAGAGUGUGGGAGAGGAUGGUAGAAUUCCAGGUGUAGCGGUGAAAUGCGUAGAGAUCUGGAGGAAUACCGAUGGCGAAGGCAGCCAUCUGGCCUAACACUGACGCUGAGGUACGAAAGCAUGGGGAGCAAACAGGAUUAGAUACCCGCGUAGUCCCUGUCUCUUAUAC